UUGCUUCAGCAGCACAUAUACUAAAAUCAGAACAAUACAGAGAAGAUUAGCAUUGGUCCUGCAUGAGGAUGACAUAAAAUUUUGUUAAGCAUUCUGUCGAGCU
ensembl:snRNA U6 U6 spliceosomal RNA